rnacentral:rRNA from 1 species
CCGUAGAAGUUUUGUUUCUGCUCAGGACGAACGCUGGCGGCGUGCCUAAUACAUGCAAGUCGAGCGGACAGAUGGGAGCUUGCUCCCUGAUGUUAGCGGCGGACGGGUGAGUAACACGUGGGUAACCUGCCUGUAAGACUGGGAUAACUCCGGGAAACCGGGGCUAAUACCGGAUGGUUGUUUGAACCGCAUGGUUCAAACAUAAAAGGUGGCUUCGGCUACCACUUACAGAUGGACCCGCGGCGCAUUAGCUAGUUGGUGAGGUAAUGGCUCACCAAGGCAACGAUGCGUAGCCGACCUGAGAGGGUGAUCGGCCACACUGGGACUGAGACACGGCCCAGACUCCUACGGGAGGCAGCAGUAGGGAAUCUUCCGCAAUGGACGAAAGUCUGACGGAGCAACGCCGCGUGAGUGAUGAAGGUUUUCGGAUCGUAAAGCUCUGUUGUUAGGGAAGAACAAGUACCGUUCGAAUAGGGCGGUACCUUGACGGUACCUAACCAGAAAGCCACGGCUAACUACGUGCCAGCAGCCGCGGUAAUACGUAGGUGGCAAGCGUUGUCCGGAAUUAUUGGGCGUAAAGGGCUCGCAGGCGGUUUCUUAAGUCUGAUGUGAAAGCCCCCGGCUCAACCGGGGAGGGUCAUUGGAAACUGGGGAACUUGAGUGCAGAAGAGGAGAGUGGAAUUCCACGUGUAGCGGUGAAAUGCGUAGAGAUGUGGAGGAACACCAGUGGCGAAGGCGACUCUCUGGUCUGUAACUGACGCUGAGGAGCGAAAGCGUGGGGAGCGAACAGGAUUAGAUACCCUGGUAGUCCACGCCGUAAACGAUGAGUGCUAAGUGUUAGGGGGUUUCCGCCCCUUAGUGCUGCAGCUAACGCAUAAGCC